GUGGCUAGUUUGACCGCUCAUUUUGAAGUGGAGGCUGGCUUGACUGCAGUCACAAAACGGCUGAGCGGAGACACGGCAAAGUGGAGAGGAUCGCAAAUCGAGAAUAGGAAAGAAAACACUGAGAAACAUGGAGAGACGCUAGUUAGCUUGGAAACGCUCUAAGUGGACUAACGAAACUGAAGAGGUGUAGUUACACUACGGCACUUUUCCUGUCUAACAGCAGUGGUUUAGAACAAACGUAAUAGUGUGCCUGGCUAAAGUUGGAGCUGACGGACUAGCUAAAGUUGAAGCUAACUGACUAGCUAGCUAGCUAAAGUUUGAGCUAACGGCGGAGAGUUGCUGGUUCGGAGGACGCUGAUUUUGGACCGGAGAGGACGACAGCGUGUCUCCCUGCUGAAGAGGACUUUGCCAUAGCUGGUGACUGGUUUUCGUUUUCGUGUUCGUGUUUGAGCUGUGUUUCUUGGACUAACAGCUAACUGGUAUGUCAACAGAGGGCCAAACACAGAGCCAUUGUCAGAAAAUCCAUCCGACACCAGUCAAUAUUCAGCCAAUCCAAGAUGUCCCUUUUCAACUGGAUGCGAUUUGUGUACAGGUUUGCACAAGGCCUACGAUUAAGACAAAUCGACAUGAUGACAGAUGACAUUGUUGCAAGCACAACUACACUGUCAAAGAUGGCAAAAAAGCUGCGAGAUGGCAAGCCUGUGUUGAGGCAAUGGAGAGAAGAAAAAGAAGAAAAUGACAGAGGCUGGGAGGGCAGAACGAGUUUGUGGUUAUUGAUGAAAGUCACUUCAGACACAAAAGAAAGUACGGACAUGGAAGAAUUGCUGGUGGGUGGAAAAGGAAGAAGUGGGUGUUUGGGAUGCUUGGUGUGAAGCAUAGAGGACAGAGGACCAUGCCUGUUCUCCGCCUGGUGGAAAGACGGACCAGACGAGAGCUGGUCCCACUGAUUAUCCACUACGUUCGUAGUGGAUCCACAAUAUUAAGUGAUGAGUGGUGGGCCUACCGUCAGGCUCUGCCUGCAUUUGGAUACAGGCAUUACACAGUUAACCACAGUGUGACAUAUGUCAAUGAUGAAACGGGCUGCCACACUCAACACAUUGAGAGGGCCUGGAGGAGCUACAAGGAGACAAUCAGUAGACUCAGAGGGAAUCGCACAGAGGACCUGCUAAGAGACCAUCUGAUUGUGAUUGAGUGGAAUGAAUGGUUGGGUAAAAAACACCGUAAUGGCCCCCCAGGUACGCCUGCUCCACAAUAUUGCUAAGCAAUAUAAAUAGAAAUACAUGUAAAGUUUUGGGAGCUUGUGAUGUUAAUCACUUUGGGUCAUUUAUUGUUUAUUGGGGCCUCUAAAGUACCCAUACCCCUGUAUUUAGAUUAUUGUAUUUGUAUCAUUAAUUUUAUUUAAAAAUUAAGGUGCCAUUGUUAAGUUUUUGUAUUAACUUUGUUUUAGUAAUCCCUUUGUUUUUGUCUCCCACUGUGCUCUUUGUUGCAUGACAAUGACUUUCUUCACAAAUGGGUUCAAUUUACUGAUCGGACUAUAUUAUCAUUGCAAAAAUAAUCACUGUUUUAUGGACCACUAAUAAAAGAUUUAAGUGUACCCAUCAGUUUCAACUUUAUAAUAGGCAUUCCAAUUAUUCUUAUAGAUGGUUUACAAAGUAUUUAACUAUUAAACAAGGUAU